GUCUGCGGCCGUCCCACCCUCAACACGCCCGAUCUCAUCUCAUCUCAGAAGCUAAGCGGGGUCAGGCCUGGUUAGUGCUUGGAUGGGAGAAUUGAAAAAUGAAAACUGAAAACC
ensembl:rRNA 5S_rRNA 5S ribosomal RNA